rnacentral:rRNA from 1 species
UACAGAGGUCUCAAGCGUUUGUUCGGAUUCAUUGGGCGUAAAGGGUGCGUAGGUGGCGCGGUAAGUCGGGUGUGAAAUCUCGGAGCUUAACUCCGAAAUUGCAUUCGAUACUGCCGUGCUCGAGGACUGGAGAGGAGACUGGAAUUCAUGGUGUAGCAGUGAAAUGCGUAGAGAUCAUGAGGAAGACCAGUGGCGAAGGCGGGUCUCUGGACAGUUCCUGACGCUGAGGCACGAAGGCCAGGGGAGCAAACGGG